rnacentral:misc_RNA from 1 species
AAAACGCUAUCGUAUUCCAAUAUGCCAGCCGAAGAACACCGUAACGCCUCGCCGGCGGCGCCGCAUCCACCGACGGACACGGCAGAAGAAGCUAUCUGGUUAUGGACACAGAUCAAAGCAGAAGCUCGGCGGGAUGCAGAAGCUGAACCGGCAUUAGCAAGCUAUUUGUACUCAACUAUACUAUCUCACUCUUCGCUUGAGCGUUCACUCUCUUUUCAUUUGGGGAACAAGCUUUGUUCUUCAACGCUUCUAUCUACUCUUCUCUACGAUCUGUUCCUCAAUAAUUUCUCCUCUGAUCCUGAUCUACGCGCCGCGGCAUCCGCUGACCUACUCGCCGCUCGCUACCGUGACCCAGCCUGUGUUUCCUUCUCUCAUUGUUUGCUUAAUUACAAAGGCUUCCUUGCUUGUCAGGCACAUCGAGUAGCUCACAAACUUUGGACUCAAUCCCGAAGGCCACUUGCACUUGCACUUCAAUCCCGAAUCUCUGAUGUUUUUGCUGUUGACAUUCAUCCAGCUGCCAAAAUCGGAAAAGGCAUCCUCUUCGACCAUGCAACAGGAGUGGUUGUUGGUGAAACUGCAGUUAUUGGAAACAAUGUGUCGAUUCUUCACCAUGUAACCUUAGGAGGAACUGGUAAGUUUGGUGGUGACCGACACCCUAAGAUUGGUGACGGAGUCCUCAUAGGUGCAGGUGCCACGAUAUUAGGCAACAUAAAUAUCGGUGAGGGAGCCAAGAUUGGCGCUGGAUCAGUGGUUCUGAUUGACGUGCCACCACGAACAACUGCAGUUGGAAAUCCAGCUAGGUUGGUGGGAGGGAAAGAACAGCCAACUAAGCACGAGGAAUGUCCCGGAGAGAGUAUGGACCAUACAUCUUUCAUAUCUGGAUGGUCUGAUUACAUCAUCUGACUUGCAUAUCAUGUAUGAUACAUUUGCCAAAUGAACUAAGAAGUCGUCGUCUCAGAACAUAAACGAGAUGACAGGUUCGAUCUUACUGCUUCUGACAGUCUAUAACGAGAAGAUCUUUUAUCUAUCUACUCUAAAAGAUUAUUCUUCUGCUUUUCUGUACUUUAGCAUACUGUGAAAGUUGAAGAUAUCCAAUAUGGAUGAAUAAAAAGUAUAGUGUUCCUGGAAUUGAGUAAUAUUUAUUCACAGUAGAGUUCACUACAUGUAACCAGUUGGUAAGAUAUCAGACUGUACAUUAGUAUAUGAU